GUUUCUUGUCAUUUUUACAUUAGAACACUAUUUCUGGUAGAAAACGUCGUCCAUAUUUAUUUAAAUUAAAUAAAUAGGUCUUUUAAAUUGAGUUGUACCUAAAAAAUGUCUAGUGUUUAAAACAUAAAAAAUAUUAUUUAUAUUUUGACGAAAUUCAAAAGUAGCAUUAGAAUUUUCAAAAUCAGCAAUCUUCUGUUCUGUACAAUAAGUCAAAGCCUUAGCCACACUUUCACUCAAUGUUUGAGCUACAAACUUCAUUUUCAUUUUUUCCUUGUAGUAGUUUAUAUGCUGGCUUAUAUAUUAGCCUAUUAUAUAUUACACCUUAUAUAUUACACCUAUAUUGGUGGCUAAGUAUAAUUGAGCAUAUUUUUAUAAAUUUACUAUCUGUUUUAAUAAUUCCCAUUUUAUUUCUUGUCUAUCUUUGUUGUAUAAUGUUUUCCAAUCACCAAGUUUAUUUCUACAAAGCUUAAGCAUAUGUUUCAAUUUUCUUUAAUAUCGAGUUUCUAUUUGUAAUUAUGUAUAUUUUCUCACAUGUAUAAAUGCUUUAAAACGUUAUUAGUGUGUUUUAAUUUUAAAUCUAUUUUUAAUUUCAACUGUAGUAAGUAACCUGAUGAUGGCAUAAAUGACAUUGAAACAAAGUAGUUAUAAAAUAUAAAUACCUAUAUUUAACACUUUUAUUAUUAAUAUUCUUGAAAAAUAUCAUUUUAAUAAUAUCAUUCAUAUCAUAAUUAUGAUAUCAUUUUAUUUAUUAUCCAGGAUAUAUUUCGCAUGUGAUAUACAGAAAGCCUCAAGAGAAAAAAUAAAAACCAAGACAAUUUAAAUUGUAAUAGGCAUAGCUAAAUAUUAUAUUUUACUAAUACAAUAUAUGUAAUAUAGGAACCUAUAUUUUUAAAAUAAUGUAAUAACAUUUUGUUAAUUAUAAUUUUUUUACUAUAUACCUACCUAAUUGACCAAUGAAUUUAAACUAUAUUAAUACAUG